CAAAAAGUAAAAGAAAAACAAAUGAAAUAAAAAAAUAGAAAAAGAGAAGAAGAACAGAAUAGAAACAGAGAAAGAGACGAAAAACAGGGGAAGAAAAAAAGGGAAAGAAAAGAAAAGGGGAAAUUGAGAUUUUUAAGCUUCAAGUUAAUUGGUAAGCUAAAUUUAGUCCUUUUCUCUUCAUUUUGAUGUUUUUUUGGAACCCUAGAGUGAAAUACUCUUGGAUUUAAGUUGAAAAUUUGAAAGUUAAUAGAUUUUUUUUGAGUAGGGUUUAUGUUGAAUAAAUGAUGGAAUUGAGGAUUUAAUUGAUAGAGUUUCUAGUUAGAGUUGAUAAAAGGAUUAAAUUGUGAACUAAACUAUAAGUUUUGAAUUUUAGGGAUUAAAUUGAGGGAAAUUCGAAAUUAGUGAAAAAUGCUGAAAAAAAUUAGUAGAUAAAAUUUAGUUUGGAUGAAAUUUGAAUAGAAAUAGAGUGUGAAUUAAAUUGGAAAAGUAAAUAAAUUUAGUUAGGAUUAAAUUGGAAUUAAAGUAUAAAUUAGAUAGAAAUUCUAUUAUUAUUAUAAAUUAAUGUUGUAAUUGAUGGUGUAAAUUAUUAUUAUUUUCGUAGCUAAGAAGGAACUCGAGGCAUCGGCACACAAAAGAAAGGAGAAGGUUAUUGAGGAAUAAUUGAGCAAAAUUCGGGUUUGUAUUACUAUAAUUCAAAUCUAUUUAUUAUUAUUGUUAUAUUUUAAUUAAAAUGCAUGGUAAGUAGAAUUAGGUAAGCAAUUGAAAUGAUAGUAGUAAUUAGUAAUUAGAAUUUGGUUGGAAAUUAAAUUUAAAAUAUGAAUUAAAUAAAGAGAAUUAAUUUAUGAAUAUUUGUGAAUAUGUGAAUUGUGUAUUGAUUGAAAAGUGGUUUGAAUUGAAUCAAAAUAUGAUUAUAUGUGAUUAUUUGAAAUAUGUAUUGGUAUUAAAUUGUUAAUUGAUUAGAAAGUGGAAAAGUGAUCUUGAAUUGGAAAUGAAAGUGAAUUGAGAAUUUGAAUACCCUAUUAACUAGUCGGGCUAAGUCGGAUAUAGUUGGCAUGUCAUAGGAUUUGGAUGAGUACGGGAUUUAUCGGCCUUGCCGACCAGGCACUUUAUGUGUCGUAUCUCAGGCACUUUAUGUGUCUUAUAUCAGGCACCUCGUGUGUCGUAUCAGGCACCUCGUGUGUUGUUUCAGGCACUUAUAUGUCAUAUACUGAUCAGGUACUAUGUACCGUUUUAGGCACAAUGUGCCGUACUGGUGUGUUGGGUUGAAAUCCGUGUAUCCGUCAAAGUCCAGAUUGUUAAUAGGGUGAAUAAUUGAAUAUGAUAAAAUUUAAAAUUGCGGAUUGAAAUUAAUAUUGAAAAUGAAAGGCAUGAAAUUAAUGCUUAUGUUGUGAUUGAAAUUAUUACAUGUGAUAUGUGAUUGAAAUUGAAGAACAGUUAAAAUUGUAUUGUUAUUGUUAAUUAAUGAAAAUUUAUAAAUUAAUUGAUAUUUAAGAAAUCGAAUAAUUACAUUGCUUGGUAAUUGUAAUUCUUUAUUGCUAUUAUAAUUUGAAUUAUGGUAAUACCACUGAGUAUAAAAUACUCAGCGUACGGUUGUUUUCGUGCGCAGGUUGAAAAGGGGUUAGAGUCUCGGUUCAGCAUCCAAGACAAUCCCGACUCCGACAUAAAAAUUUUGGUGAUGUUUUCUUUCUUUAAGAAAAAGUGGCAUGUACAUAAGAAUUAUAAUAGUUAUUUUGGUAUGUUAUAUAGUUUUGUUGUAAAGUAAGAUAUUAUGUGUUUUGAUGAUUAUGUUAGUAAAUUGGUAGAAGUUCUUUAUGACAUUGGUAUUAAAUUAAAAUGGCUUGAUUAGUUUUAUGUGUUAAUUAGAAAUGAUAAUAGGAUUUUUAUUAAUUAAGUUGUUAUGUCAAUAUGUCAAGUAAGAUUUAAGUAUAUAAAUGCUUUGGUUGAAAUACUGGAAUUGGGUUAGUUAUGUUUGAAAUUUUGCAGGGGGUUAUAUAUAAAAAUAAGCAGAAAUUUUUAUUAAAAAAAACGAAUGAAAUCAAUUAGUAAAAUUAUAUGAAUUUAUGAUUUAUUUUAAUAUGUUGGUUAUUUAUUUAAGAAUUAUAUGUAAAUUGUUUGAUAUGUCCGGUAAUGCCUCAUAACCCUGUUCCGGCGAUGGUUUGGGGUUAGGGGGUGUUACAAAAAUAAAGAGAAUUUUAGAUAUUCCAAUUUGGUCCCAUUUUUAUGUUAGUAAAAUUUGUUAUUUUCCCAUUUUACCCUCAUUUCACUAAUUCUCCUGAUUUUUCUCAGCUUAUGCCGCGCAAAAUAUCUCCUUUUGGGCUUAUUUGCAAUUUAUGUCCCUCCUCAUUUAACAAUUGAGUUAUUUAAUCAUUCUAGUAACUUUUACACAUUUUUUAAUUUAGUUCUUUUCACUUAAUUGACUACCCAAACAUUAAAAUUUUCUAACGAAAUUUUAAUACCAUAUUACUAACAUUUCAUAAAUAUUUAUAAAAAUAUUUUUGACUCAGUUUUACGAGAUCGAGGUCUCGAUAUCUUAUUUUUACCCAUUUUCUUCAAUAAUUUCUUUUUCUAACUAACCACUAAAUCAGUAAAAUUUUACUAUCGAUAUUUUCAUACGAUUUUCCUAUCAUAUCAAUAUUCAUGUAAAAAUAUUAAAAUAAAUUUCUCUUUAAAUCGGAUUUGAGGUUACGAAACCACUGUUCUGAUAACCUUGAAUUUAGGCCAUUACAGUGUUGCAACAUGGAGGCCCUACACUUAGUUCGAAGGGAAGAUCGUUCGCAACAUUACAAGGCUUGUUGCCGCAACAUCCAAGUCCAUAUCCAAAAUUGUUGACAGUUACUCAAGGCCAUGUUGUGGAAACUUGGUCCUUCAGUCUUCAUCAAGUCAAUUUUUAAGUAAGGAUAAUUUUGUCAUUUACCUACUGAGUAUAUGUAACAACUCGAUUUCUAGUGGUGUUGAAAAAUACGGUUUUGAAACCCCAUUUUUGUAAACCGAGUUCGUAAAUAUAAAAUAG
rnacentral:lncRNA from 1 species